rnacentral:lncRNA from 1 species
AUGACACUUCUAAGUAGAGCUUUGGGUAUGCUUUUCUAUUUACUUCAAGCUGUUUCUGGAGAAAGUGGCUAUGCAGAAAAUGGAGAUUUUGAUGACACAGAACUGGAUGACUACUCAUUCUCAUGCUACAGUCAGCUGGAAGUGGAUGGACUCCAGCACUUGCUGACCUGCACGUUUGAUGACUCGGACAUCAACAGCACCAAUCUGGAACUUGAAAUAUGUGGGGCGCUUUUGGAUGUAUAUUGCCUGAAUUUUAAUAAACUGCAAGAGAGGUAUUUCCUCAAGACAAAGAAAUUCUUACUGAUUGGAGACAGUAAAAUAUGUGUGAAGCUUGAAAAAAAGAACAUGACUUGCAGAAAAGUGAACAUAGUGAAGAUAGUUAAACCUGAGGCUCCUUUUGACAUCAGAGUCAUCUAUCGUGAAGGAGCAAAUGACUUUGUGGUGACAUUUAAUACAUCACACUUGCAGAAGAAGUAUGUGAAAGUAUUAAUACAUGAGGUAGCCUACCGUCAGGAAAAAAAUGAAAAUAAUUGGAUGCGUGUGAAUUUAACCAGUACCAAGCUGACACUCCUACAGAGGAAACUGCAACCCAAUGCCAUGUAUGAGAUUAAAGUUCGGUCCAUCCCUUACGCCAACUAUUUUGAAGGCUUCUGGAGUGAAUGGAGUCCAAGUUUCCACUUUAGAACUCCAGAGACCAAUGGCACAGGGGAGACGGAUCCUGUGUUACUAACUAUCAGCAUUCUGAGCUUCUUCUCUGUGGCUCUGAUGGUCACUCUGGCCUGUGUGUUAUGGAAAAAAAGAAUUAAGCCUAUCAUAUGGCCCAGUCUCCCUGAUCAUAAGAAGACUCUGGAACAACUGUGCAAGAAACCAAAAAAAAAUUUGAAUGUGAGUUUCAAUCCUGAAAGUUUCCUGGACUGCCAGAUUCAUAAGGUGGAUGGCAUUCAAGCUAGAGAUGAAGCAGAAGGCUUCCUGCAAGACCCUCUUUCUCUGCAGCUGGAGGAGAGUGAGAAGCAGAGGUUCAGAGGCGGGAUGCAGGGUCCCAGUUGGCCCUCCGAGCAAGCAGGCAUUACGCCUAAAAUUUUCAGAGGAGAGUCACCAUUCAGAUGCUUGGCUGGGAAUGCCAGUGUGUGUGAUGCCCCUGGGCUUCCCUCCUCCAGGUCUCCUAAUGGCAGGGAAGGUGGCAAGGGCAGACCUCUAGUGUACCAGGACCUGCUCCUCGGACCUGGAACUACAAAGGGAGCAAGGGAAGAAAGAGGGAAAGGAGAACAGAGUGUUGGAUACCAUGAUCAGGACUCACUAUGUCCCCAGUGCUGUCCUACAUGCUCUGCACAUCUUGUCUCGCUGCGUCUUCACAGUAAUCCUAGGAGAGCAUUUCAAAAGAGACUACAAGACUUGGAAUUGACCAGGAAGAUGGUGAGCAUACAUGAUCAGACAGCUAAAAUGAUGCAGAUUCGGAUGGCAUUUCUGCCAGUCCAGUGGUUUUUGUUUGAAGGUAUUCUAUAAAAUAUCCAUUGUUCACUACACUGAAAGUCUCUGAUUUGACUGUGUACUUCCACAUGCAUUACAAACAUUCUGCAGAGCUGCUAAGUAUAUUACAUGUAUCCAAUGUGUGUUACAAUCAUAUAUUUAAUUAAAUGCUAGAGAACUCUCUGUGACUGCCCUUGUCUUCUUGAAAUAGGAAUAGAAGGCUAACUAGAAUGGGCCACACCUCUCCUCAGCCACUGGAGAUGUAUCAGGGUUAUUUGCUGUCAUUUUAUGGCCUGGGGUUUUCAUAGGAAACUUUUUUCAUCAGUCAAGUCAUUCGUUUGUAAAUUAAUGAAUUAGUAAUUUGUUGAGGAUCUGCUCUGCAUUACUUUGUCCUAGGCUGGACUCUGGGGUUACAGAUAUAAGAUGGGAUAUUUCCAGCUCAUAAUCACAAGGGACAAAGACACAGAGCAACAGUUAACAAUGUUGUACCAGAGCAAUGACUCAAAAUAUGAAUCAUGAACCUUAGUUUAAAGCAAUAGAAGCUAACUCUGGCUAAUCUGAGCAGAAAAGGAAUCAAUCCUAAAGGAAAUCAACCCUGAACCAUCUGGGGAGUUAAAAAUACAGGAGACGCUGUCUUCUUAUCUGUCUCAGAUGGGAAAGCAGGGUGUUGGCGGUUACUUCUGUAAGUUAGAUACAGGACGCUUUCAUGAAAAAUAAUACAUAGCUACUUUGAACAUCUUCAGUUCAGUACACUUCAGUCGCUCAGUCGUGUCUGACUCUUUGUGACCCCAUGAAUCACAGUACACGAGGCAUCCCUGUCCAUCACCAAUUCCAGGAGUUCACUCAAACUCACCUCCAUUGAGUCAGUGAUGCCAUCCAGCCAUCUCUUCCUCUAUCGUCCCCUUUUCCUCCUGCCCCCAAUCCCUCCCAGCAUUAGAGUCUUUUCCAAUGAGUCAACUCUUCGCAUGAGGUGGCCAAAGUACUGGAGUUUCAGUGUUAGCAUCAUUCCUUCCAAAGAAAUCCCAGGGCUGAUCUCCUGCAGAAUGGACUGGUUGGAUCUCCUUGCAGUCCAAGGGAUUUUCGAGAGUCUUCUCCAACACCACAGUUCAAAAGCAUCAAUUCUUCAGUGCUCAGCCUUCUUCAAAGUCCAACUCACAUUCAUACAUGACCACUGGAAAAACCAUAGCCUUGACUAGACAGGACCGUUGUUGCCAAAGUAAUGUCUCUGCUUUUCAAUAUGCUAUCUAGGUUGGUCAUAACUUUUCUUCCAAGAGUAAGCAUCUUUUAAUUUCAUGGCUGCAAUCACCAUCUGCAGUGAUUUUGGAGACUAAAAAAUAAAGUCUGACAC